UAAUGUUGAGGUUCUAACUCUGUCCCGUGAUCCGGGACGAGGACCGUGUCUGGUGGGUAGUUUGACUGGGGCGGUCUCCUCCUAAAGAGUAACGGAGGAGUACGAAGGUGCGCUCAGCGUGGUCGGAAAUCACGCGUAGAGUAUAAAGGCAAAAGCGCGCUUAACUGCGAGACCCACAAGUCGAGCAGGUACGAAAGUAGGUCUUAGUGAUCCGGUGGUUCUGUAUGGAAGGGCCAUCGCUCAACGGAUAAAAGGUACUCUGGGGAUAACAGGCUGAUACCGCCCAAGAGUUCAUAUCGACGGCGGUGUUUGGCACCUCGAUGUCGGCUCAUCUCAUCCUGGGGCUGAAGCAGGUCCCAAGGGUAUGGCUGUUCGCCAUUUAAAGAGGUACGCGAGCUGGGUUUAGAACGUCGUGAGACAGUUCGGUCCCUAUCUACCGUGGGCGCUGGAAAUUUGAGAGGAUCUGCUCCUAGUACGAGAGGACCAGAGUGGACGAACCUCUGGUGUACCGGUUGUGACGCCAGUCGCAUCGCCGGGUAGCUAUGUUCGGAAGGGAUAACCGCUGAAAGCAUCUAAGCGGGAAGCCUACCUCAAGAUAAGAUUUCCCUAGGACUUUAUGUCCUCUAAAGAGCCGUUCGAGACUAGGACGUUGAUAGGUUGGAUGUGGAAGCAUAGUGAUAUGUGAAGCUGACCAAUACUAAUUGCUCGUGAGGCUUGACUAU
rnacentral:rRNA from 1 species